UCUGGUUGCAAACAAGAAUGUAACUUUUCGCGAACCGAAUUAAUGAAACGUUGGUUCAAUCACCCGUUUACUACCUGCCCUACAAAACACGAAGAAAGAUAGUGUCCAAACCACAGUCUUAAAAUUAAAUAAAACGGAACGGGACGGAACGAUAUCAAUAGCAACGGAUUCGAUAAAGAUCUUAAUACGCGAGCUUGGAAGCGGCCGGUCAACUGUCAACAGGUGGCUCUUACCUAACCCAAUUCACACUGUCAACGUCUAGACAAAUUUAAACGUAAAUAUUGAAAAUUUAACGGUAUUGAAAUAUGGAAAAAUUACUGGUACUUCGCUCGAAAGGUAUGGUACGACCUUACUGCGACGAAUGUGAAUCCUUGGUGGACCUGGAACCUUUUUAUACCCAUCGCAGGAAUUUGGAUGCCGACGACUCACGAACAUCCUCGGAACCAAUCGUUGAAUAAAAAUACAAUUGGGAAAACUUAAUGAAAAUAGAGUUUUUCCUCGUGAAAACGGUGAAAACAGCGGGACAAAAGCUGGCCACAUGUGUGCCAGAAAACCGGCUUUUCAGGAAAACCGCGGGAAACUGAAUCAUGAUUUAUAUUAUAUUUUGCCACACCGGGCAUGCCCCUUCAUUUAACAGGGCUUUCCAAGUUUUAGGCAUUUGUGGUUCUUUAUUAUCCUAAGAAUAACCAGGGCUGAAAACAAUAAGGCCAGAGACUACAACAUAGUCAACGGAGAACUAGGCAUAACCUAUAAGAAAUCAAACCUUUCCAGGAUACUAUCAGGCUAGAAACCUCUUUAAGUUGGUUUCUUUAUAUAUGUUUACAAUUAUAAACCCCAUAUGACUCACAGAGCCUGGGAAAAUUCAUGAACUUUCUGCGCAGGGGAUAAGUACGAAAUAUUCACGUACGAAGGAUUAUUAUAAUAAGCUAAACCGUAGACAACAGGACUAUUUACAUAACUGAGAAUAUAUAUUAAUCGGUUUAACUUGAAUAUAUCUACAUUUGAAUUAAACAAUAAUACUUUUAUCAAAUUAAAAGGUUUUCUCUCAAACUCUUUAGAAAACUUGUAAAUUAAUAUACUAUACUAGUAGACAAUAAGUGAAAUUCACUGGACUGGAGUAGAUGUUUAGAGGGCAUCUAGAGAUUUUGAAGAGAUCAUAAAGAGAUAUUAAAGAGGACCCUCAAUGGGAAACAAAGUGGUAAGGAUUGGAAGACAACAGGAAACAACGGUAUAUGAAUUUACACCCCUUAAAAAGUAGUUUUUUGACUAAAGUGUAAUUUUCUGGCAAAAUAUCAGCAUGGGCAAUGCAGAACAUAACAGGGUAGCAAUAAAUGAAUGGAUAAUCUUUAAAAAAAGAGAAAUUGAGCUUUAAAUUAGAUUCUAUAAAAAUGAACCAUGUGCUACUUACAUAUCGUCAAAAUUCCAGAGGAACACAUCAUGAAUUCACGUCCCUGUAAAACAAUUUCAGCAAAUAGAAUAGACUUAACUGCAAGCAAUUUAUUCAUUCAGUUUAAUCAUUCACAGAUCCCGAAAGGAAAACUUUGUUACUUCGUUUACCCGUCUUUUACUUUUACUUUCCCUUUUUUAAGGGAUAGGUCGCAAGGAACGAAUACCAGAUCGUCAAGUCGAGGUGCAAAAAGAAAGAUCUUUGGAAAAAUUACGGCGAGAGAACUUGGUAACUAAUUUUGUCAAUGCAAAUAUUGAAUAUAACAGAAAUUCGCAAGAAGAGUCCAAUCAAAUAGUAGUCCGGAAAACACAAAGGAAGUACUUUGAUGAAAAACACAGAAUCAAAUACCAGUUCCAUAAUAGGGGCUCUUAGUGGAACUCUAACCGAAUUAUGUUUUAAUAAUCAGUGGCAGUACCCCGGUACGUAAACCUAGAUCAAGGUCGACCUGUCUAGCGCAAAAUUUGCGAGAGUUUACCGUCUAUUAAGUGGCUAUUACCAAAACUAUACCGGUUUUAAUCGAGUUUAUUUUUAUAAAUUAGAUUAAGAAAACUAAAUACAAUAGUAAUAUGAUAAUUGUAAACAAAAGAUAGUUCAAUAGAGAUAGUAGACAGAUUAAAUCAAUUAAUUUAUUAUA